CCACGAAAAUAGGACACUGGGAACCUGAAGAAAGAGAAUCUUUGAGGCUUGGGUCCACACUACGUGCUUUCACACGGCGACUCCCGCGUUUAUAAGCCCGCCCUCCGCCUCCGGUCGGUUCACUGUCCACAGAACCCCAACAACCAAGGUCGAUCUUCACUCCCAAUUAUCGGAAAAAAUAUUCCGGCGAUGGCGGCCCGGGGAACAGUUGUCUUCACGUCCGUUGGGCGACCAACUUACGGUUUCGACGUCUUCUGCAUUGGGGUCUCGCCUGAGUGCGGUACCGUUCGAGAACUGGUCGACUACCGGUUGACGGACGGCAUCUCCGUUAAUUACAACGGCCAAUUCAUGGAUGACCAUCAAACCGUUGUCUUCGUCUCGGAGAGAGGCGGCGCGGCCGAGAUCUUUCGUACCUCAUCGGCGGAUUCCCUGGCCGAGAAUUUUCGGGUUCACCGGAUCACGGCGCUACCCGAGAGCCCCUUUCUCGAUCGCCCGACGGUAAAAAAUGGGACAUUGUACUUUGUUUCGAGCCACGAGGACGCCGACAGACCGUUCAAGAGCUGUUCAGCGGUUUACUCGAUGCCGAUCGAUGGCGGGAAAGUCACUCGCCUAAGCCCGCCAGGAGUCGUCGACUACAGCCCCGCGAUUUCUCAGGCGGGCAGAUGGAUUGCCGUUGCUUCUUACGGUUCUGGCGAAUGGAAGGGCGACUUUCACGAGAUAGCGACAGAGAUAGUGGUUUUGCAGACGGAAAACCCUACUGACCGGGUGGUGAUCUCUGGCGGAGGCUGGCCGACAUGGUCCGGCGACUCUACCCUGUUCUUCCAUCGCAAGUGCGACGACGGAUGGUGGAGCAUAUUUCGAGUGGAUUUGCCGGAAAAGCUCAACGAGUCCAUGCCCUCGCCAAUGAUUCCUGAACCGAAGAGGAUCACUCCUCCGGGGUUCCACGCUCUGACACCGGCCGCCUCUCACUCCGGAAAAUGGAUUGCGAUCGCGACACGUAGACCGGAAACGAAGUUCCGGCACGUCGAGAUGCUCAAUUUGGAAACGGGAAGCUUCACACGAGUGACGGAAUCCACAAGCCCUGGCCUCCACCACUACAACCCCUUCGUCUCGCCCUCAUCCGAGUUUGUGGGCUACCAUCGUUUCAGAGGCGAGUCGGUGUCCGGCGACACCAUCAUUCCUGAGCUCGAGAGAGUUCGAUCCCCAAUACCUGAUCUGAGAAUGCUCCGCCUCACCGGAGCGUUUGCCGCAUUCUCGCCGGACGGCAAAUACAUCGCUUUCAACCCCGAGUUUGAGGGGGUCACCGGCGUGCGCAUCCUGGAUUCCACCGGCCGGAGGCGGUGGACAGUAGUCAAAGAUAGGGUAGCGUUCUCCGUCGCAUGGAGCCCCAAGGAGAAAGGCGUUAUUUACACAUCCCUCGGUCCGAUUUUCGACUCUGCUAAAGCCACUGUCCAGAUCGCGCGGAUCUCCUUCAACCCGAUGGACCUCGACAACCGCGAAGAGGUCCCGGCGGCGGUUACGAUCUUAACACGUGUGGAAACCGGCAACAAUGCGUUUCCUUCGUGCUCGCCGGACGGCAGGUUCAUUGUCUUCCGGUCGGGCCGAUCGGGCAACAAGAACCUCUAUAUCGUUGACGCCGUGGAAGGCGAGGAUGGAGGCCAGGGAAUCCGGCAGCUGACGGAGGGCGAAUGGAUCGACACGAUGCCGAGUUGGUCCCCCGAUGGCAACUGGAUCGCCUUCUCCUCCAACCGGCACAACAUCCAGAACCCGGCCGCCUUCAGCAUCUACCUCAUCAGGCCAGACGGGUCGGACCUUCGCAGGGUCUACGUCGCCGGUGGUCCCGGCUCCAGCGAGGCGGACAGGGAGAGGAUCAACCACGUUUGCUUCAGCCCCGAUUCCAAGUGGCUGCUCUUCACCGCCAACAUGGGUGCCGUGUCUGCCGAGCCCGUGUCCUUUCCCAACCAGUUUCAGCCUUACGGCGAAAUCUUCCUCGCCAGAUUGGACGGAACGGGUCUUCGGAGGCUGACCUGCAAUGCUUACGAGAACGGAACGCCGGCGUGGCACGAUCACGGCGACUGGGGCCUUGAUGUCGAGUCCCUGACGUUGGACAAACUCGGCGACAAGCUCACCGGAAAAUUCGACGAGCCCUUGUGGUUAACCUGUUGAAUUAGUUAAUAUAAUUAGUCUUUUCCUACAAACUGUCUUAAACUUCAUCCUGCUAGAGAAUCUUGAAGCCCAUACGAGAAAAUGUCCAUUAUACAAACAAGUCCUACCUUUGAAAAGUCAGUCAUUUUACACAAAGGGCAUUAAUGCUGGAGUAGAGGCCGAGGAUGGAAAUGCAUCUCUUUCUGACCCAGUUUCAUGCACAUUUUAGUGCCAGCAAGUGCAUCUCUUUUGAAUAUAACAUUCUAUUGGAAGAUAGUGAAGACAACAAGCUGUCAGUUACAUCUUCUGGAGAUUUGAUUAUCACUUCAGACAUGAAGCGACGUGCAAUAUAUAAAAUGUCCAUAGCUGACUUUUUGGCACUCCUGAGUAAAAUAAAAUCAAUACACCAUGCUAUCUUUUUAAAUAUUGAGGUCUCAAGUGUGAUGCCUGAAGCUUGUAGUAGAUGGUUGAAGAGUUGAAACGGAAAUAAAUUCAUUAACCAUCGCUGUCCUGUUGGUGGCGAGGCUUUCGGAGCUUGUGGCAAACUGAGUAAUCUUCGAAAAUGCAAUGCAAAUCCUGUUGUGACUAAUGGUCUCCUUUUUAAUGGACAGGUUUCACAAGGAGCUGUUUGUUAUUGGUGAUCAAAGAGGGACUCUCGUUGCCUUCAUUCUGGGGGAAAACCCUAUGCAAUCUGCUGUAGAAGGGAGAGUUAGCUAAAAUAGCAAACAAGAAGUGAGCAACAAUCGCUUGUGGCUCUAUGUCAAGGAUGUUCUAGGGAGUGAGGACUCUACAAAAGUAUCUUUGGCCUGUUAAGACCAUCAGUGCCACCCCCCACACUCUCAUUUCUACUAAUAGCGAUAGAAUCUUGUGGGAGGCGAAAUAAAAUUCGGCAUAAUGUGUUAAUAUUAUUAAAGUCAAAGGUGUGCCUGCUUCUUGGAUGAGGGACGGCUACCCAACAACAUUUUUCACACUCUACAUUGCCCAAAACUCAUUCUCACGUAGUGGAGAUGAUGCAAAUGACAAAGGUCUCAGGAUUGAAGCUCAUUCACAAUCAUCACUUGUCUUAAAGGUGGUUGCUAGCUCUGGAUCAAGGUGAAAUUGGCAUCAGAGAAGAGGUAAUGGAUAACAUAUGUGAAUUGUUGCUUGUUUCAAUCGUCGGACAUGCUUAAAACGCCUUGCCGGCAUUUUCAAUUUAAUAAAAUGGGAGGGGAUCGAUACCUCGGAUGUCAUUACCCCUUGGAUGAGUCACAUGUCCAGCGCACCUGUUAGCUAAAAUUUGCAGAAUAUUUUUGUAGUGAAUCGUCCAUGGCUAUAGCGGUGAUAGUAAUGACUGAUAUACAAAGCAACAAGGUAAUUUCUUCGCCGUUGUAAGUCUAUAGCGAUGGCUUUCUUCGUCGGAAUUGAUCUUUUGUGGUUCUAUACAGUCGCCUCCACCGGUGAUCAAAAUCACCGGUAACAUUGAAAGGCUACAGUGGGGAACUUUAUCACCGCUAUAUAACUAUAACGGUGAUAAGCUUGACCGUUGUACGUCUAUACCGGUGAAUAUUGUCUUUUGUCCUCUUCCCUUACGUGCCGUUUAACAAACUUAA